rnacentral:tRNA from 1 species
AAUUGGGUGGCCGAGUAUAGUAGGUGAGAGAUUGUAAAUCUUUAGACGGGUGUUGACUCCCCAAUAA